AUUGAACGCUGGCGGCGUGCCUAAUACAUGCAAGUCGAACGCAGUGGGGACGGGUGAGUAACACGUGGGUAACCUCCCAUCAGAGGGGAUAACACUUGGAAACAGGUGCUAAACCGAUACUGAUGGAUGGACCCGCGGGGCAUUAGCUAGGUGGUGAGGUAACGGCUCACCAAGGCCACGAUGCAUAGCCGACCUGAGAGGAGGAUCGGCCACACUGGAACGGAGCCACGGCCCAGACUCCUACGGGAGGCAGCAGUAGGGAAUCUUCGGCAAUGGACGAAAGUCUGACCGAGCAACGCCGCGUGAAUGAAGAAGGUUUUCGGGUCGUAAAACUCUGUUGUUAGAGAAGCGGUAUCUAACCAGAAAGCCACGGCUAACUACGUGCCAGCAGCCGCGGUAAUUC
rnacentral:rRNA from 1 species